UACGUAGGGGGGCAAGCGUUGUCCGGAUUUAUUGGGCGUAAAGAGCUCGUAGGCGGUUCGUCACGUCGGCUGUGAAAUCCCGAGGCUCAACCUCGGGUCUGCAGUCGAUACGGGCGGACUUGAGUACUGCAGGGGAGACUGGAAUUCCUGGUGUAGCGGUGAAAUGCGCAGAUAUCAGGAGGAGCACCGGUGGCGAAGGCGGGUCUCUGGGCAGUAACUGACGCUGAGGAGCGAAAGCGUGGGGAGCGAACAGG
rnacentral:rRNA from 1 species